rnacentral:tRNA from 1 species
GCGGGUGUAGCUCAAUGGCAGAGCAAGAGCUUCCCAAGCUCCAGACGAGGGUUCGAUUCCCUUCACCCGCUCCA